rnacentral:rRNA from 1 species
UACGGAGGGUGCAAGCGUUAUCCGGAUUCAUUGGGUUUAAAGGGUGCGUAGGCGGAUUAUUAAGUCAGUGGUGAGAGCCUGCAGCUUAACUGUAGAAUUGCCAUUGAUACUGAUAGUCUUGAGUUUGGUUGAGGUAGGCGGAAUGAGGCAUGUAGCGGUGAAAUGCAUAGAUAUGCCUCAGAACACCAAUUGCGAAGGCAGCUUACUAAACCAAUACUGACGCUGAGGCACGAAAGCGUGGGGAGCGAACAGGAUUAGAUACCCUGGUAGUCCACGCCGUAAACGAUGAUUACUCGUUGCAGGCGAUACACUGUCUGUGACCAAGCGAAAGUGAUAAGUAGUCCACCUGGGGAGUACGGUCGCAAGAUUGAAACUCAAAGGAAUUGACGGGGGCCCGCACAAGCAGUGGAGCAUGUGGUUUAAUUCGAUGAUACGCGAGGAACCUUACCAGGGCUUAAAUGUACACUGACCUCCCGAGAAAUCGGGAUUCUCUUCGGAGCAGAGUGCAAGGUGCUGCAUGGUUGUCGUCAGCUCGUGCCGUGAGGUGUCGGGUUAAGUCCCAUAACGAGCGCAACCCUCAUCUUUAGUUGCCAGCGAGUAAUGUCGGGGACUCUAAAGAAACUGCCCGCGCAAGCGUGGAGGAAGGUGGGGAUGACGUCAAAUCAUCACGGCCCUUACGUCCUGGGCCACACACGUGCUACAAUGGUAGGUACAGAGGGCAGCCACUUGGUGACAAGGAGCGAAUCUCUAAAGCCUAUCUCAGUUCGGAUUGUAGUCUGCAACUCGACUACAUGAAGCCGGAAUUGCUAGUAAUCGCGCAUCAGCCAUGGCGCGGUGAAUACGUUCCCGGGCCU